rnacentral:rRNA from 1 species
GAUGAACGCUGGCGGCGUGCCUAAGGUAUGCAAGUCGACCGGAAACACUUCGGGUGUCGAGGGGCGGACGGCUGAGUAACACGUAGGAACAUACCCCAAACUGAGGGAUAAGCACCGGAAACGGUGUCUAAUACCGCAUGUGGUCUUCGGACUAAAGCUUCGGCGGUUUGGGAAUGGCCUGCGCAUGAUUAGCUUGUUGGUGGGGUAACGGCUCACCAAGGCGACGAUCGGUAGGUGGUCUGAGAGGACGAUCACCCAGACUGGGACUGAGACACGGCCCAGACUCCUACGGGAGGCAGCAGUCGGGAAUUUUGCGCAAUGGACGAAAGUCUGACGCAGCAACGCCGCGUGAGGGAUGACGGCCUUCGGGUUGUAAACCUCUUUUGUCAGGGAAGAUGAUGACGGUACCUGACGAAUAAGUCACGGCUAACUACGUGCCAGCAGCCGCAGUAA